AACCUGGUUGAUCCUGCCAGUAGUUAUAUGCUUGUCUCAAAGAUUAAGCCAUGCAUGUCUAAGUACAUACAUUUUUAAAGUGAAACCGCAAAAGGCUCAUUAUAUCAGUUAUGGUUCAUUAGAUCAUUAACAGUUACUUGGAUAACUGUGGUAAUUCUAGAGCUAAUAAAUGCAAUUUAAACACGGACCAUAUGGAACGUGUGCUCUUAUUAGGCUAAAACCAAUCGAUAUCUUUAUGAAAUCGUUUAUUAUGGUUGAACUCUAGAUAAUUUGCAGAUCGUAUGGUCUUGUACCGACGACAGAUCUUUCAAAUGUCUGCCCUAUCAACUAUUGAUGGUAGUAUCUUGGACUACCAUGGUUGCAACGGGUAACGGGGAAUCAGGGUUCGAUUCCGGAGAGGGAGCCUGAGAAACGGCUACCACAUCUAAGGAAGGCAGCAGGCGGGUAAAUUACACACUCCCAGCACGGGGAGGUAGUGACGAAAAAUAACAAUACAGGACUCAUAUCCGAGGCCCUGUCAUUGGAAUGAGUACACUUUAAAUCCUUUAACAAGGACCUAUUGGAGGGCAAGUCUGGUGCCAGCCGCCGCGGUAAUUCCAGCUCCGAUAGCGUAUAUUAAAGUUGUUGCGGCUAAAACGUUCGUAGUUGAAUUUGUGCUUAACACGGGUAGUACGCCUAUAAUUUUGGGUUUGUACAUUACCUUUUUGUGUGUGAGCGUAUUAUCGGUGAGGUAAUUACAUAUAACAUAUAUUCCUUUGGUUUGUAUAUUUAUGUAAACCUCUAUAUAUACCUACAUUAAUCCUCUUCAUCGAGCGCUAUUGUAGGCCGAUACGAUUAUUUUGAACAAAUUAGAGUGCUUAAAGCAGGUUUAAAAUGACUAAAUAUUUUGUGCAUGGAAUAAUGGAAUAUGACCUCUGUUCUACUUUCUAUUGGUUUUUAGAUCAAGAGGUAAUUAUUAAUAGAAGCAGUUGGGGGCAUCAGUAUUACGACGCGAGAGGUGAAGUUCUUGGACCGUCGUAAGACUAACUUAAGCGAAAGCAUUUGCCAAAGAUGUUUUCAUUAAUCGAGAACGAAAGUUAGAGGUUCGAAGGCGAUCAGAUACCGCCCUAGUUCUAACCAAAAACGAUGCCAGCUAGCAAUUGAGUAUAGCUACUUCUAUGGCUUUCUCAGUCGCUUCCCGGGAAACCAAAGCUUUUGGGCUCCGGGGGAAGUAUGGUUGCAAAGCUGAAACUUAAAGGAAUUGACGGAAGGGCACCACCAGGAGUGGAGCCUGCGGCUUAAUUUGACUCAACACGGGAAAACUUACCAGGUCCUAACAUAAAUGAGUAAGACAGAUUGAUGGCUCUUUCUCGAAUCUAUGGGUGGUGGUGCAUGGCCGUCCUUAGUUCGUGGAGUGAUUUGUCUGGUUAAUUCCGAUAACGAACGAGACUCAAAUAUAUUAAAUAGAUGCUUUCAGGAUUAUGGUGCUUGAAACUUUGCAUAGCUUUUAUACAAAUUAUUUGAAAUGGUAUUUGUAUAUGUUAAUGUUAAGUGGAAUCAUACCUGUUUGUUUGGCCCAUUAAUACGGUUCACUUGCUUCUUAAAUGGACAAAUUGCGUCUAGCAAUAAUGAGAUUGAGCAAUAACAGGUCUGUGAUGCCCUUAGAUGUCCUGGGCUGCACGCGCGCCACAAUGAAAGUAUCAACGUGUACAUCCUAAACCGAGAGGUUUGGGUAAACCGAUGAAUCACUUUCAUGCUUGGGAUUGUGAACUGAAACUGUUCACAUGAACUUGGAAUUCCCAGUAAGUGCGAGUCAUUAACUCGUAUUGAUUACGUCCCUGCCCUUUGUACACACCGCCCGUCGCUACUACCGAUUGAAUUAUUUAGUGAGGUCUCCGGACGUGAUCACUGUAACGCUGUAAUAUGUGUUAUAGUUGUUUUGCAAAAGUUGACCGAACUUGAUUAUUUAGAGGAAGUAAAAGUCGUAACAAGGUUUCCGUAGGUGAACCUGCAGAAGGAUCA
rnacentral:rRNA from 1 species